GAUGAAGAACGUAGCGAAAUGCGAUAAGUAAUGUGAAUUGCAGAAUUCAGUGAAUCAUCGAAUCUUUGAACGCACAUUGCGCCCGCCAGUAUUCUGGCGGGCAUGCCUGUUCGAGCGUCAUUUCAACCAUCAAGCCCCCGGCUUGUGUUGGGGACCUGCGGCUGCCGCAGGCCCUGAAAACCAGUGGCGGGCUCGCUAGUCACUCCGAGCGUAGUAAUACAUCUCGCUCAGGGCGUGCUGCGGGUUCCGGCCGUUAAAAAGCCUUAUUUACCCAAGGUUGACCUCGGAUCAGGUAGGAAGACCCGCUGAACUUAAGCAUAUCAAUAAGCGGA
rnacentral:misc_RNA from 1 species